GAUGAACGCUGGCUACAGGCUUAACACAUGCAAGUCGAGGGGAAACGACGGGGAAGCUUGCUUCCCCGGGCGUCGACCGGCGCACGGGUGAGUAACGCGUAUCCAACCUGCCUCUGACUGAGGGAUAACCCGUCGAAAGUCGGCCUAAUACCUCAUGGCAUCGUCUGCGGGCAUCCAACGACGAUUAAAGAUUUCAUCGGUCAGGGAUGGGGAUGCGUCUGAUUAGCUAGUUGGCGGGGUAACGGCCCACCAAGGCGACGAUCAGUAGGGGUUCUGAGAGGAAGGUCCCCCACAUUGGAACUGAGACACGGUCCAAACUCCUACGGGAGGCAGCAGUGAGGAAUAUUGGUCAAUGGGCGAGAGCCUGAACCAGCCAAGUAGCGUGCAGGAGGACGGCCCUAUGGGUUGUAAACUGCUUUUAUGCGGGGAUAAAGUGAGGGACGUGUCCUUCAUUGCAGGUACCGCAUGAAUAAGGACCGGCUAAUUCCGUG
rnacentral:rRNA from 1 species